CACCUCUCAAGGUCGCGACUGGAGAAUUUCUAGCAUUCUACCAAGUCUCGGCUACAGGAGGGAGAGUCAAGCAGAGGCAUACCCAUUCCACUCCUAGCUUGGCCAGUGGCUAGCGAGUGGAAGGCAAUCUGCUACAAGU
rfam:Ornithorhynchus anatinus chromosome X5, whole genome shotgun sequence.